rnacentral:misc_RNA from 1 species
GAUGAAGAACGUAGCGAAAUGCGAUAAGUAGUGUGAAUUGCAGAAUUCAGUGAAUCAUCGAAUCUUUGAACGCACAUUGCGCCCUUUGGUAUUCCAAAGGGCAUGCCUGUUCGAGCGUCAUUUGUACCCUCAAGCUUUGCUUGGUGUUGGGCGUCUUGUCUCUAGCUUUGCUGGAGACUCGCCUUAAAGUAAUUGGCAGCCGGCCUACUGGUUUCGGAGCGCAGCACAAGUCGCACUCUCUAUCAGCAAAGGUCUAGCAUCCAUUAAGCCUUUUUUUCAACCUUUGACCUCGGAUCAGGUAGGGAUACCCGCUGAACUUAAGCAUAUCAAUAAGCGGAGGA